GAUGAACGCUGGCGGCGUGCCUAAUACAUGCAAGUCGAGCGAACAGACGAGGAGCUUGCUCCUCUGACGUUAGCGGCGGACGGGUGAGUAACACGUGGAUAACCUACCUAUAAGACUGGGAUAACUUCGGGAAACCGGAGCUAAUACCGGAUAAUAUAUUGAACCGCAUGGUUCAAUAGUGAAAGACGGUUUUGCUGUCACUUAUAGAUGGUUCCGCGCCGCAUUAGCUAGUUGGUAAGGUAACGGCUUACCAAGGCAACGAUGCGUAGCCGACCUGAGAGGGUGAUCGGCCACACUGGAGCUGGGACACGGUCCAGACUCCUACGGGAGGCAGCAGUAGGGAAUCUUCCGCAAUGGGCGGAAGCUUGACGGAGCAACGCCGCGUGAGUGAUGAAGGUCUUCGGAUCGUAAAACUCUGUUAUUAGGGAAGAACAAAUGUGUAAGUAACUAUGCACGUCUUGACGGUACCUAAUCAGAAAGCCACGGCUAACUACGUG
rnacentral:rRNA from 1 species